UCGGAUUGUAGUCUGCAACCCGACUACAUGAAGCUGGAAUCGCUAGUAAUCGCAGGUCAGCAUACUGCGAUGAAUACGUUCCCGGGUCUUGUACACACCGCCCGUCACACCAUGGGAGCCGGAAAUGCCCGAAGCCAGUGACCCAACCUUAGGGAGGGAGCUGUCGAAGGUGGAGCCGGUAACUGGGGUGAAGUCGUAACAAGGUAUC
rnacentral:rRNA from 1 species